rnacentral:lncRNA from 1 species
GCCAGCAGCUCCAAGAUGAUUUGAUGAAGGUCCUGAACGAGCUCUACUCGGUCAUGAAGACAUAUCACAUGUACAAUGCCGACAGCAUCAGUGCUCAGAGCAAACUAAAGGAGGCGGAGAAGCAGGAGGAGAAGCAAAUUGGUAAAUCGGUAAAGCAGGAGGACCGGCAGACCCCAUGCUCCCCUGACUCCACGGCCAACGUUCGCAUUGAGGAGAAACAUGUCCGGAGGAGCUCAGUGAAGAAGAUUGAGAAGAUGAAGGAGAAGCACCAAGCCAAGUACACGGAGAAUAAGCUGAAGGCCAUCAAAGCCCAGAAUGAGUACUUGCUGGCUUUGGAGGCAACCAAUGCAUCUGUCUUCAAGUACUACAUCCAUGACCUAUCUGACCUUAUUGAUGUAAGUGCUUAAAGCCAAGGGCCUGAGGGCCCCUCUUUUCUGGUUUCAGAAUACUCGUCAGACAUUCCCGAUACUAUUGUUC